ACCUGACUGCUAUCGGAUUGGUACUAAGCCAUGCGAGUCAUUGUAGCAAUACAAGGCGGACGGCUCAGUAACACGUAGUCAACCUAACUCGUGGACGUGGAUAACCUCGGGAAACUGAGAAUAAACCACGAUAGAUCAUAGUGCCUGGAAUGGCUUAUGGUCCAAACAGUUUACUGCCAUGGGAUGGGACUGCGGCCUAUCAGCUUGUUGGUGAGGUAAUGGCCCACCAAGGCGAUUACAGGUACGGGCUCUGAGAGGAGAAGCCCGGAGAUGGGUACUGAGACACGGACCCAGGCCCUAUGGGGCGCAGCAGGCGAGAAACCUUAGCAAUGUGCGAAAGCACGACUGGGUCAGUCCGAGUGAUUCCUGAUAAAGGAGUCUUUUGCCUGUCCUAAAAGCACAGGCGAAUAAGGGGUGGGCAAGUCUGGUGUCAGCCGCCGCGGUAAUACCAGCACCUCGAGUGGUCAGGACGUUUAUUGGGCCUAAAGCAUCCGUAGCCGGCUCUGCAAGUCUUCGGUUAAAUCCACCUGCUCAACAGAUGGGCCGCUGGAGAUACUACAGAGCUAGGGAGUGGGAGAGGCAGACGGUAUUCAGUGGGUAGGGGUAAAAUCCUCUGAUCCAUUGAGGACCACCAGUGGCGAAGGCGGUCUGCCAGAACACGUUCGACGGUGAGGGAUGAAAGCUGGGGGAGCAAACCGGAUUAGAUACCCGGGUAGUCCCAGCUGUAAACGAUGCAAACUCGGUGAUGCAUUGGCUUAUGGCCAAUGCAGUGCCGCAGGGAAGCCGUUAAGUUUGCCGCCUGGGAAGUACUGUCGCAAGACUGAAACUUAA
rnacentral:rRNA from 1 species